UGGGGAAUUUUGGACAAUGGGCGCAAGCCUGAUCCAGCCAUGCCGCGUGCGGGAAGAAGGCCUUCGGGUUGUAAACCGCUUUUGUCAGGGAAGAAACGCUCUGGGCUAAUACCCUGGGGUAAUGACGGUACCUGAAGAAUAAGCACCGGCUAACUACGUGCCAGCAGCCGCGGUAAUACGUAGGGUGCAAGCGUUAAUCGGAAUUACUGGGCGUAAAGUGUGCGCAGGCGGCCGAGCAAGUCGAGUGUGAAAGCCCCGAGCUUAACUUGGGAAUUGCGCUCGAAACUACUUGGCUGGAGUGUGGCAGAGGAGGGUGGAAUUCCACGUGUAGCGGUGAAAUGCGUAGAGAUGUGGAGGAACACCGAUGGCGAAGGCAGCCCUCUGGGGCCAACACUGACGCUCAUGCACGAAAGCGUGGGGAGCAAACAGGAUUAGAUACCCGCGUAGUCCCUGAGCGGGCUGGCAAGGCGCAU
rnacentral:rRNA from 1 species